UUGACACAAACAGCUUGGUUGGGGAGCACCCGGAAGUGUCACUGCAUCUGACAUUCCUCAAGACGGAGGAAACUGAGUUGAAGGCAAAACUAAUCUGUGACCUCCGCGAGAAAAAGAAAAGAAUCUACUCCACUCUAACCGAGUCAAUCAAGGACACCAUGCAUCGAUGCUAUAUAAGGGCAUCAGAGCAUACAGGAAAAGAUUCUCUAAAAAGGAUGAAAGAUGAGCUACACCAUCACAUGAAGAAUAACAACAUUUUCCAGAAGGCUAAGGAAGAUAUGCUGGUUCGUUUAAC